rnacentral:rRNA from 1 species
AUGGAGGAUGCCCAAAAGAUUCGCAAGAGCGUGAUAGACUACUUUGAAAAGGCGUCACCUCCUAACCUCAGUGAAGAGGAGAGGAAGAUCCUUCACUUUGUGAUUAUCGGUGGUGGACCUACUAGGGUUGAAUUUGCGGUGGAGUUGCAUGAUUUUCUUGUCGAAGAUCUGGUGAAGCUAUAUCCUGCAAUUGAAGAAUUUGUGAAGAUAAAAAUUAUGCAAUCAGGAGAACAUACAAUGAGGGUUGAACGUUCCUGCAGUAAUAACCUUAGUUUUGGGCAAGAUGAUCAAGGAGUAGCGAAACUUUAG